rnacentral:rRNA from 1 species
UACGUAGGGUGCGAGCGUUGUCCGGAAUUAUUGGGCGUAAAGAGCUCGUAGGCGGCCUGUCGCGUCGGAUGUGAAAGCCCGGGGCUUAACCCCGGGUCUGCAUUCGAUACGGGCAGGCUAGAGUGUGGUAGGGGAGAUCGGAAUUCCUGGUGUAGCGGUGAAAUGCGCAGAUAUCAGGAGGAACACCGGUGGCGAAGGCGGAUCUCUGGGCAAUAACUGACGCUGAGGAGCGAAAGCGUGGGGAGCGAACAGG